GACAUCUGGAAUGCAGAACUUUCAAGAACAACACCCACUAGGGCUAGAGAGAAUCUACCUCUGGCAUAGGUACAGAGGAAGUAGCCUGGUGAGGAAAGCCUUUACCCAGGUACCUCUUUCUUUAACUGCCCAGGAACACGUGCCACAAAAUGACGGUGGCCCUGUCAGCUGUGGGCAGUCCAGAGAGGGAACAGCCUCGAGUGGGAAGCAGGGCCUGUGGGACAAGAGUCAGCCUCACUUCCUACCAGGAAAAACUCAAAGUGGGAGAAAGAGCCAUGUAAAGCUGUGCAAUCAUCCCCAACGUCUCAUCUGGGCUUUUUGGCUUUAGGACAAAGGUCAGACAAGACUUCACUGCCCUUACUCUGCUGGCCCCAAGACAGAAGUCACACAGGAUCUCCUCCUCCCCCUCAUCACCAGGAGCCCCGACUUCUGCGGGAUCGCAGCCCUGGCCCUGGGUUUCCUCUCCUGGCUUCCCCACAGAGUCCACAUCCUCUUCUUCUACUGGGAUAGCUGGCCCAGGUUCUGGGUCCAGAGGAGCCGAAGGACGAACGGUGAUCCCAGUCAGUGGCCCUGGGGCAAUCAGAUCCAGUUCAGCCAUCUGGAGGCUCUGCGGACUAAGGCGUCCUUCCUCUGCCCCUUGGCUCGGGAUCUGUGUAGCCCAAGUCAGACCAAAGAGCCACGCCUAGCUGAUUGCAGCUGCCCUGAGACGUUAACUGUUUCCUUCCUCCCGAGGAAGCUCAGUUACUCAGACAGGACUGGGUUCCUCUGAAUCGGAGGAGGAGCCAGCCCCAGUGACAAGACAAAUGGCACUCAAGCUCAGGACUGCCCUUUGUCUCUGAAGUCUCUUCACUGGCUCAGACUUCUUCCUAUUCCCAGUCCAGCCCAGAAACUUCUAUUCAUUUGGAACUCGUUUGUCUCGCCUCCCAUAGGCUCUGAGGGAGACCACAUGAGCCUCUGGGUCUGGAAAACAGCAAGAUUCCUGAGCUCUAUUGUAAGCCUGUGUGGCUUGGAGUGUUCCCACAAGCCAUAUGUUUGUUUUGUAUGUUUUAAAGGGAUCCAAAAUACAAGGACUUUAACAUUAGAUCAGCUACUUACCCUAAAUGAGACACCAGCUUGGUUCCCCCCACCACUGCAAAAACUAUGACCUAAAUAAAUAAAUACCAUCUAGCUUCA